UACAGGGGGUGCAAACGUUGCUCGGAAUCAUUGGGCGUAAAGCGCACGUAGGCGGCGCGGUAAGUCGGGUGUGAAAUCUCGGGGCUUAACUCCGAAACUGCAUUCGAUACUGCCGUGCUUGAGGACUGGAGAGGAGACUGGAAUUUACGGUGUAGCGGUGAAAUGCGUAGAUAUCGUAAGGAAGACCAGUGGCGAAGGCGGCUAUCUGGACGGAUACUGACGCUGAGACGCGAAAGCGUGGGGAGCAAACAGG
rnacentral:rRNA from 1 species